GUCCACGCCGUAACGAUGUCGACUAGCCGUUGGGCCCUUAUGGGUUUAGUGGCGCAGCUAACGCAUUAAGUCGACCGCCUGGGGAGUACGGCCGCAAGGUUAAACUCAAAUGAAUUGACGGGCCCGCACAAGCGGUGGAGCAUGUGGUUUAAUUCGAUGCAACGCGAAGAACCUUACCUACCCUUGACAUCCAGAGAAUCUGUUAGAGAUAGUGGAGUGCCUUCGGGAACUCUGAGACAGGUGCUGCAUGGCUGUCGU
rnacentral:rRNA from 1 species